UAGUUAUAGGUAUUCAUAAGUAUCCAAUUUAAUGCUUCAGCAGAAAUACAUGUUUUUAAUUUUUGUCUUUUGUCUUUGCCUGUAAAGGGAAACUUAACCAAGCCAAAUGAACAACUUAGAAACACUGAAGUCCCAAGGACUUCAUAGUGAAGAUGUCCUUGGGACAAUUGGGCCUUUCAAAAUCUUUCUGGGUAGUUUGGAGGCCCUUUUAGGCCCAUUUGAACUUCCAGAUGAGGUAAUGGAUGCCUUAUUUUACGUCAUGAGCAGGAGCCAGCCUGGGACAGAGGCAAUUAAUAGUCAGGCUAUGCGCCUGAUUUUGGAGGGCAGCUCCAGGGCCAGGAGUACUUAUUUCUUAAAAAAAAACAUUCUUAAAGGAGCCAGUGCCAUCUUCGGGCCCUACUUGCUGGGAGAGUGCCACUGGACCCUCUUUCAUUGCAACUUGAAAGAGGGAACUAUUACCUACAUCGACUCCUUGGGGGAGCAACCACAGCAUUGCUUCCAAAUAAUGGAAAAUUGGAGCUUAUUUGCUGCUAGCAGAGGCUGCCAAGGGCCCUGGAAGAUGAUGAAGAGGGACCAUGACUUACAAAACGACUCUUUGUCAUGUGGGGUGUUCUCACUAAUGUUUGCAGAAAUGAUCCUCCAGGGACAACAAGGGCACCUCCAAUGCCUCCCUAUCGCUCAAGAGCGGGAGAGACUUGGGACUUUGUUGUUCAACUCCCUUGAUACAAAGACUCUAAGAAGAAAAAAGGCAAGGGUUAAUUAUCAAAAUAUACAUACUGUUUCUCAACACAUUGUAUACUUAACUCAAUGUUUUUUUCUCUUUUCUAGGGAAAAAUCGCCAAGUCUAAAAAUACAGUAGAUGGUGGCCUUGCACAGGAAUCUGAGUCCACAGAGGGUGAACAAGAGUAUUAUUCGAAGUGGAGAGUGUUCUCCGGUUACCUGACGGGACCAAGGCCAAAAGGUAACUUUGUAUGUCAUUACCAUCAAUAUUUCAUACAUUUACAUAAUUCUUCCUAAGCAAUUAAUAGUUCCAAACAAUAACUGUGCACAGGUCUACACAUUGCACGAUUACCGUAUUUUCCGCACUAUAAGGCGCACUUAAAAGCCUUUAAUUUUAUUCAAAAAACG
ensembl:lncRNA